rnacentral:rRNA from 1 species
AUACGUAGGUGGCGAGCGUUGUUCGGAUUUAUUGGGCGUAAAGGGUCUGUAGGAGGUUUGUUAAAUACGGGGUGAAAUCCCGAAGCUCAACUUCGGAAUUGCCUUGUAGACUGACGGACUGGAGUACCGGAGAGGUAAGCGGAAUACCAGGUGUAGCGGUGGGAUGCGUAGAUAUCUGGUAGAACAACCAAAAGCGAAGGCAGCUUGCUGGACGGAAACUGACUCUGAAAGACGAAAGCAUGGGGAGC